rfam:Eutrema salsugineum unplaced genomic scaffold scaffold_6, whole genome shotgun sequence.
GGAAAGAUGAAGACUUUCUAAUUUCCAGUCUUGAAAUUCCUUUAAUGAUUGAAAGCUCGCAUCCCUCAGACUCAGAGAAAUUGAUUUGC